rnacentral:rRNA from 1 species
UACGUAGGGGGCAAGCGUUGUCCGGAUUUAUUGGGCGUAAAGAGCGUGUAGGCGGCCAUACAGGUCAGCUGUGAAAACUCGAGGCUCAACCUCGAGACGUCGGUUGAAACCGUAUGGCUAGAGUCCGGAAGAGGAGAGUGGAAUUCCCGGUGUAGCGGUGAAAUGCGCAGAUAUCGGGAAGAACACCCGUGGCGAAGGCGGCUCUCUGGGACGGUACUGACGCUGAGGAGCGAAAGCGUGGGGAGCGAACGGG